AUGAGCGUGGCAUCGUGGAACCAGGAAGCACCUGCCCAGGAAGAUCAUCUACACCCGCCCGCCUGUCCAUGCACCAGUGGUGGACUGGAGCUACAAAAAAUAUAUUGGGCGGGUCACAGCGAAAUCGCCGUGGUGACGGAUUUCUCUGGUUUGACAUUCAAAAUUACCGAUGUGCCAACGACUCCUCGCCUUUGUUCCUCGACGCAUAUGCCCCUGCGCCCGUUCCUCAGCAUAGUCAGCGACACAGACGCCGGUGCUGUCGUUCCUCUCAUAGCGGAGGACUCGGAAGCCGCUACUGUUGUUCCUCUACGCGACACCGACGUUGUGCCCUCCAGAACCAUGGCAGGACGCCAUGUGAAUGCCUCAGGGAGUGUGUGGAUGCCCACCAAAUGUUUGAUGGGUUCCCCUAAUUGA
rnacentral:rRNA from 1 species